rnacentral:rRNA from 1 species
UGGGGAAUCUUGCGCAAUGGGCGAAAGCCUGACGCAGCGACGCCGCGUGAGGGAAGAAGGCUUUCGGGUUGUAAACCUCUUUCAGGAGGGACGAAGCUACUCGGGUGAAUAGCCCAGAGGGUGACGGUACCUCCAGAAGAAGCCCCGGCUAACUACGUGCCAGCAGCCGCGGUAAUACGUAGGGGGCAAGCGUUGUCCGGAUUUAUUGGGCGUAAAGAGCGUGUAGGCGGCCUGGUAGGUCAGCUGUGAAAACUCGAGGCUCAACCUCGAGACGCCGGUUGAAACCAUCAGGCUAGAGUCCGGAAGAGGAGAGUGGAAUUCCCGGUGUAGCGGUGAAAUGCGCAGAUAUCGGGAAGAACACCCGUGGCUAAGGCGGCUCUCUAGUACGGUACUGACGCUGAGACGCGAAAGCGUGGGGAGCGAACAGG